UGAUGAAGCGUCGAGGCGCACACGAGAGCUCGGUCGAACGGGGAUGCUCGCACGCGCGCCGGCCGCCGUAGCGAGCGCGCGCGGCGGCGACGCGUCGGGAGCGCACGCGCGCGCGCUGCUCCCCUUUCGGAGAGCCACCCCCGCCGGCCAAAAUGGUACGACCCUGGACCCGAGCAAGGUCACGCCGUACCAGUACAAUGCACGCUCCACAAACCGGCGAGCAUCGCGUCGCUUGGACAACGCUCGCGGGGAGGCCCGUUGAUAGAGUCGGUGGCGGCGCUCCGCGCCGCGUUUGCCUGCUGCCUCGAUGCUGCGGGGCGCCCGCGGCCUGCUGCGCGCAUGAAGAAGGCGUUUCGACUCGUGCACGCUGUUGACGCACCGAGCCAGUAGGAAAGCAGUGGCACACACGAGUGUUCGUCGUCGCAGCGGCGCAGUGUUUAUGAAACGAUGUUGACUCUAAGCCUAACCGGCGAGCGGACUACACGGAGGCGGCAUGUUUCGCAUCUGUUCGUUCGCGAUCGGCGUGCGUGCCAGCUGGAAUACCCGUGUUGACUGAGCGGCACAGCAUCGUACCACAUAAAGGCAGUGGUAGUACGUUUUCCGCGUUCCUCGCUACAGCUACCGAGAUCGUCUUCGCCACGUGUAUUUUUUUUCCCCCGACGCGUCAUCGCGCCCUGACUGAGAUGCCGUCCGUCGCAGGUGAUCGUGCUGCGUCGAGAAAACUGCGCAUACCUGUGCUUCGCAAGAGAAGGCCUAGGAACUGAUGCACAAUCAUGGACUCUUGAACGUUACUUGGAUUCAUUAGUGUAGUGUGCUGCGUUUUGACCCUUGUUCACCAGCCAAGCCCACCAAUGAAGUCGAUGUUCGGACAAAGCAUGCCCGGCGGUCCGCCGGCAGACCCAUUUUAUUCAUCGCCGUUUUCGUCCUAUUUCAGAAGACACACGCCGUACUUUGGCCAGCCGGACUACAGAAUCUACGAGAUGAACAAGCGGUUGCAACAAAGGACGGAACAGGAGAGCGACAACUUGUGGUGGGACGCAUUUGCAACAGAGUUCUUCGAGGACGAUGCCACCUUGACGCUCACAUUCUGCUUGGAGGAUGGGCCAAAGCGUUACA